rnacentral:rRNA from 1 species
AACGAACGCUGGCGGCAGGCUUAACACAUGCAAGUCGAACGCCCCGCAAGGGGAGUGGCAGACGGGUGAGUAACGCGUGGGAAUCUACCCAGUUCUACGGAACAACACAGGGAAACUUGUGCUAAUACCGUAUACGCCCUAAGGGGGAAAGAUUUAUCGGAAUUGGAUGAGCCCGCGUUGGAUUAGCUAGUUGGUGGGGUAAUGGCCUACCAAGGCGACGAUCCAUAGCUGGUCUGAGAGGAUGAUCAGCCACACUGGGACUGAGACACGGCCCAGACUCCUACGGGAGGCAGCAGUGGGGAAUAUUGGACAAUGGGCGCAAGCCUGAUCCAGCCAUGCCGCGUGAGUGAUGAAGGCCUUAGGGUUGUAAAGCUCUUUCAGUAGGGACGAUAAUGACGGUACCUACAGAAGAAGCCCCGGCUAACUUCGUGCCUGCAGCCGCAGUAA